rnacentral:rRNA from 1 species
UAAUACGUAGGGGUCGAGCGUUGUCCGGAGUUACUGGGCGUAAAGCGCGUGCAGGUGGCUCAUUACGCCCGGCGUGAAAGCCCCCGGCUCAACCGGGGAGGGUCGUCGGGGACGGGUGAGCUUGAGGGUAGCAGGGGCUGGUAGAAUUCCCGGUGUAGUGGUGAAAUGCGUAGAGAUCGGGAGGAAUACCCGUGGCGAAGGCGGCCAGCUGGGCUACACCUGACACUGAGACGCGAAGGCGUGGGGAGCGAACG